AUUGAACGCUGGCGGCAGGCCUAACACAUGCAAGUCGAACGAGCGGCGGACGGGUGAGUAAUGUCUGGGAAACUGCCCGAUGGAGGGGGAUAACUACUGGAAACGGUAGCUAAUACCGCAUACCAUCGGAUGUGCCCAGAUGUGAUUAGCUAGUAGGUGGGGUAACUGCUCACCUAGGCGACGAUCCCUAGCUGGUCUGAGAGGAUGACCAGCCACCUGGGAACUUAGUCACGGUCCAGACUCCUAUGGGAGUCAGCAGUGGGGAAUAUUGCACAAUGGGCGCAGGCCUGAUGCAGCCAUGCCGCGUGUCUGAAGAAGGCCUGCGGGUUGUAAAGUACUUUCAGCGAGGAGGCGUUACUCGCAGAAGAAGCACCGGCUAACUCCGUGCCAGCAGCCGCGGUAAUUC
rnacentral:rRNA from 1 species